rnacentral:rRNA from 1 species
UGGGGAAUUUUGGACAAUGGGCGCAAGCCUGAUCCAGCCAUGCCGCGUGAGUGAAGAAGGCCUUCGGGUUGUAAAGCUCUUUCGGACGGGAAGAAAUGGCGGGCUCUAACAUAGCCUGUCGAUGACGGUACCGUAAGAAGAAGCACCGGCUAACUACGUGCCAGCAGCCGCGGUAAUACGUAGGAUGCAAGCGUUAUCCGGAAUUAUUGGGUUUAAAGGGUGCGUAGGCGGACUAAUAAGUCAGUGGUGAAAGCCUGCAGCUUAACUGCAGAAUUGCCAUUGAUACUGUUAGUCUUGAGUACAGUUGAGGUAGGCGGAAUGUGUCAUGUAGCGGUGAAAUGCUUAGAUAUGACACAGAACACCGAUUGCGAAGGCAGCUUGCUAAGCUGUAACUGACGCUGAGGCACGAAAGCGUGGGGAGCAAACA